rnacentral:lncRNA from 1 species
AAUUUGGACACAGAGACAGACAUGCACAGAGGCAGAACACCACGUGAAGAUAAAAGCAGAGAGGGAGGUGAUGGUUUUACACCAAGCAUCACCGAAGAUCGCCAGCCACACGCCAGGGGCAGCUGAAUGCCGUGCAGGUGCUGCAGCCUCUCACCUGAAUCCCAGAGCUCUUGUGAAGUUACUUUCAUCUAUGGAUGGUUAUUAAAUUGGUGUUUUCAGCUUACAGUGAAAGAUCUUCAGAACACCAAUUCAGUUGCCUUCAGGGUUAAACCAUAAUAUCAACACAAAAUGGAUCAAGAGCCAGUCAUCCUAAAAAGACCACAUGCAUGGCCCCUGAUCUAGCAAAAGUAGUCACAAAUGCAGCUGAAUGUGUGGAAACCUCUAAGAGAAAAUGUGUGAAUCACAGAAAGAGUGGCUCCAGUCAUGGAACGUGGAGAAAGCUGCCACAGAAGCAAAGGCUGCCUAUGCUCAUGCCAGCACUGACAGGGAGAACUCUCCGCCCUCUACCUUGGGUAUUCUGGCUCCAAUGACAGGGCUGUCUCUGGAAUGAAGUUCUGGAUCAUAGUCCUGAGAGAAAUUCCAAGACUCAUCUUUUUUCAUCCAGAUUUCUACACUCCAGAAGGGUAAAGAAAAAGAAAAAGAAAAAAUUUUAAAAAGAUAUAGGUUAAUGAAAUUUUAAAAAGACGUAGGUUAAUUGUAAGUUAUUGCAAUAUAAACAUAAGCCUAACUUUAUAUGUUAUUGCAUAGGAUAAAAGUUUGAAUAAAAUAAGCUGGACAGAUGAGAUUCAUAUAUGUGCUUGUAAAUGCACUAAAAAAAGAAAAAAAACUGCUGAUGUAAAAAUAUUGAGUUUUAGUUUACUCAAUAUUUUUUAAGUGUGAUACAAUAGUAUUCUACUGUAUUAUUAUAAUCAUGUAAAAACAAUAUGUUAAUGCUGGGAUUAUACAAUCACAGAUGACCUUUUUUGUAAUGUUUUAUCUUACUUUUUUUCUUCAAAUGAUUCACUAAAAUACGAAAGAUUUUGUUGCCUGUUGAACUCUCCAGGAAUUAUCCCUUGC